GUGAUUGGAGAAGCCUCUUUUUAUUGGCAAAGAGGUGUAGGUAGGCAGGGUUCCAGGACAGGGCAAAACAAGCCAUGUAUUUGAGUGGAAAAGAGGGCUUGCCCGUUUCUCUCCUGGGAAGACAGUGGGUUUUGCUUUUGAUCUUAAGGGUCUACCUUCUUGAAAAAAAAUCUUUGAAGUAUCUCAUAGACACUUCAAAAUAAUAUCAGCUAAGCUCAGAGGCCCCCGAGGGGACAUGACCAAAUAAACAGAAGCCUGGUUGUCUGAGAGCUAGUGCUGACGAGAGCAGGUGCCUGAUGCCUCCUGCCCUGUUUGACUCCCAUUCUCUUGGCACAAUGAGUGUAUAUCUCAGAGGAAAUGCUGAGUCCGGGUGUACGUUCACAUGUACUUGUGCAUUCUGGGUACACGUCACACAUAUACACGUACACACUGCAAAGCAGCCAGGAGUAUGAAGAGCUGUAAUGGGUGAGAGGCACUCACAACUGACUAACAGCUGGAAGAAAGCCUUAUUUUUCCCCUCUGCUGUCUACAUCCAAAGAACACACUGCUUGGACAGAGAGGCAAUUCUGACAGACACCAUAUAGCCACUUAUAAUAAUAACAAGAGAACAUGGACCCUGUAUACUCUAUGGGUCUUUGAUGGAUCUGCGUGGUUUACACCUUUUUCUUCUCCUCUCAAUGGGCCCACUUCAAGAAGCCAUGAAGGAGUUAAAAGUGAGCUGAAACUUUGACUUUCUUAGCUCUGGAAUAUAUGGGUAUAGUGCAGUCAGAGCUCCCUUGCCACGGGCCACACAAAGAGUUGUGGACGCCAUGACUUGAAAAGGACCUCAAACCAGUCACCCUUGCUACCAAGACAUGGCCUCUGUCUCUGGACUUGCAGCAUCAACAUCUCUCAGAGCCCUGGGCUCGGCCCUGUCCUGCUGAGUCAGAGUCUGCGUUUAGCAUGGCCUGAGGGCAUUCAUACUAUCUAAGAUUGAGGGACACUGCAUGGGCAUCGUGCUGAAAAAUGACCUCUAGAUUCAUUUUCUGAGGCCACAGGAGGAAAGGAAAGAGAACUCAAGAGGGAGAAAUACUGAUCAGGACAUGAAAACGUAAGGCCCAGGUUCGUUUAACCUGAGAGCCAAAGGCACCGGAGCCAGGAGAGCCAGGGGUGCUGAAUAAGAACAGGUGUCCGGGCCUCUCCUGUCCUCUCAGAUGAUGCAGAUGUAUCCACCUGAAGUUCUCAACAAAUUAAUUUAAAAUGAGGAAACGAAUGGAGUGGAAAGAUGGCUCAGCAGUUACAAGCACUGGUGCUCUUGCAGAGGACCUGGAUUCAAUUCCCAGUGCCCACACAGAAGUUCACAAGUUCAGGAGAAUGGCCUCUUUAGGCACUGCAUGCAUGUGGGGCAUAGACUAUAUAAAUAUAUGCAUAUAUUUGCAUAGAAUAUGUAUAUGUAUGUGUAUGUGUAUGUGUAUGUAUAUCCCUAUCUGCCAGAUAGUAGAACACCUGUUAGACUAGACUGUCUGCAGGGCUCUUGUUCCUUGUUCCUCAGCCAUUACUAAAGGAAAUUCCAGAAGAGAGGGGAGCUACCUACCCAUGGACAGAAGGAACACACUUCUGCUUCCUGCAGCCUUUUGCAAAUUGAUCUUUGCUUUUCUCUACUGCUGACUGUUGGGUGUGAAAGAGGAGUUACUGCAAAGCUGCAAGCUGGCUAGACCGACUUUGAUUACCUCACAAGGGAGAAGAGAGGGAGAUGGAGGAAGAAGGGUGUGUACAACACCACAGGCAUCAGAUCACUGUCACGGGUUGCAUACAGUUGUCAUCGCAGUAAGCACUGCCCUGUUCCACAGGGCAAGCGGCUCUUAGAUGGCUGCAGCCAGUGCACGUGCUACAGCAGUCCUCUCUGGCUGGCACAGGGACCCUUCUGCACACACAGUGCAAACACCCCCGCUCUGGACAGUACCGAGCAGAGCCAGUGACAGACAGCCUGAGGGAUGGAUGAGGCCUUGCAGCAGGGAGCUACAGUCUCACGGAACUGCUGAGGGGCUGAGUGAAGGCUCCUUGGAAAGACUCCCCCCAUUCUCACUGACCCCAGGGCAUGGGAAGUUCAUCUGUGACAUGCUACCUCCGCAGUAAACCAGAAACUCAAAAGGGAGGAGAGAUUUCUUUGCUGAGAGUCUUGCCCUGCAUACUGUGCCCUGACACACUGAUGGCUGAGGAGGACUGUGCCAAGGACCAGACCUAGUGAGAAUAGAAGGGGCAAGCAACUGGACAGAGGCUGGGAGUGGCAGUGUGCACCCUCUCCGCAUCAGAUGUGAGGCCAGAGGUUUUGCUCUGCUUCUCAAGUGGAUGGAAGUGAUUGCUGUCCCUAAACCUGUUCUGCUAUCUCGGUGCCUUUCCAUGUCUCUGUCUAUAAGGCCUGCAGACUUGUGAUUCCAACUUCAGUAAGUUCAGGCCACCCGUAGUCUUUAUCUUCUGUAUCUUAUAUACAGGGGGAGCUGGAGUAGCAUAUAGCAGCUCAGUAUGGUAUCAGCCUCCCUCACCACCACUGCAUGUGAACUUCUUAACGGUGAUGUAAGGUGCCAGGCAGCUUCUCUAAGGCAAAGAGCAGCAUCUGUUUAGCCUUCUCAACUAACCUUUCUAUUUGAAAAUUAAACACUAAAUUUGAGCAAGUACUCAUCAUAUUUGAUACAACCAAAGCUUCCCAGAUUCCACUUUUGGUCUGUAAAAAAUAAAAAUAAAAAAUGUUAGCAUCCUCAACUGCUAAAAAAAUAUGAGACAUCAAUUUGUGGCUGAGGGUAAACUUGAGACUGUAUGUAAAUUAUGUAAGUUAUAAAUUGUAAGAAUUAGGGCUCCUAAUGGAGGAGCUAGAGAAAGUACCCAAGGAGCUAAAGGGAUCUGCAACCCUAUAGGUGGAACAACAUUAUGAACUAACCAGUACCCCGGAGCUCUUGACUCUAGCUGCAUAUGUAUCAAAAGAUGGCCUAGUCGGCCAUCACUGGAAAGAGAGGCCCAUUGGACACGCAAAAUUUAUAUGCCCCAGUACAGGGGAACGCCAGGGCCAAAAAGGGGGAGUGGGUAGGUAGGGGAGUGGGGGUGGGUGGGUAUGGGGGACUCUUGGUAUAGCAUUGGAAAUGUAAAUGAGCUAAAUACCUAAUAAAAAAUUAAAAAAAAAGAAAAAAGAAGAAAAAAAAUAAAUAAAUUGUAAGAAUUGUUGCUAAUAAUAAAUUGAAACUAAGUGAUUGUUUAAAUGAUGACUGAAGGAAUAUCUGUCAAAUAUGUCUGAUCAUCUGUACACCUGGCCUAGGUUCUACAAAGGAAAUGUAGGGCACUUAGCAGCUUGCAAAGAUUCUAAUGUUUUUGCCAAUCUUUAGUACAAAGCACAUCUAUGAUUCUAAAUAGAUAAGGGCACACCCAGGCAUCUUUCCACAGCUGAAUCUCGGACAGCAACUUCUUCAGUGUGCCUAUAUGGGUGUUAAUUAAUGUCCACAGACAAGAAAUGACUUGACCAAGGUCAUACAUCUAGGUGGUGUCAAGCUGAAACUGCCUCUCCGAGUCAUGGCCAUUCCUCCCAGCCACUGGUCCAGGCCAGGUUGUUCCAGUGUUCCUGAGGGCUGUACUGCUCCAGGUAGGAAGGAAUGGUCCCAUUUUAUACAUGGGAUGACUGAGGCUCACAGAGGCCAGUGCUUUGUCCUAAGUUAGAUUCUAACUAAGUGGCUAAAUUCAUAUCUUCUAAAUAAAUGUGCAAUUGGCAUCCCUCACCACUUCCCAUUCUAGAUCUUCUGCUUGGCUUUUAUACACAUGUGCUUUUAUACGUAUCUGGACAGAGAACAGUCUGACCUCAUACACUCUUCUGUUCUUGCUGAAGAUAAGAUACUCCCCAAGCAGCUAUGCUGGGUUGCUCUUGUGACUAAAAUCCCUGAGGGACAGGAGACACAGAAAGGAACAAUGCAAAGGCUGUAGCUCAGGUGAGUCUUCUCAACCAUGACCCUGAGGGUGGGAGUCAGCAGGGAGCUAGCCUAGAAUAACCAGUUUCUCCAAAAAUGUAGGCAUCUUUCUGAAUGGCUCAUCUGUGGCCAUAAGGCAAUGUCACUCUAAUCUUACAUUUAACUGAGAGCAGAGCUGCUCAGUGAAGGAGCUUGCAUUGUACAGGAGCACUGGAAAAGAGCACUCUACAGGACCACUGGGGAAGAACACUCUACAGGAGCACUGAGGAAGAGCACUCUACAGGAGCACUGGAAAAGAGCACUGUAGAGGAGCACUGGGGAAGAGCACUGUACAAGAGCACUGAGAAAGAAAGAGCACUGUACAGGAGCACUGAGAAAGAAAGAGCAUUGUACAGGAGCACUGGGAAAGAGCACUCUAUAAGAGCACUGGGAAAUAGCACUCUAUAGGAGCACUAAAGAAGAGCACUCUUCAGGAGCACUGGGAAAUAGCACUGUACAGGAGCACUGGGAAAGAGCAUUGGAAAGGAAUAUUUUGCAGACUCACUGGGAAAGAGCACUGUACAGGAGCGCUGGAAAGGGACAUUGUACUGGAGGAGCACCAGGAAGGAGCACUGUAUAGGACCGCUGGGAAGGAGAGCUUCACUUGUGGAGCACAGGGCAACCCUGCAGACAGUGGUCUAGAGCCAGUGGCUUGGAGGCAUUUGGAAGGUCAGAAAUAGAAGAGAGAAAGAGGAGGAGACUGGCAUAGGAGGGACUGAGAAUGAAACUGAACAGGGCACAGGUGCUAUUUGGUCCUCUAGCCCGUGUAUAUCUACACUGAUGUGCCCUGUGCACCAAAGGCCUCUUGUACUGACUUCCUCAAGGAACGAACAGGUACCCUGUGCAGCUGACAGUUACCCAGACGGUACAAUCCGAGCCAAUCCAUGAGGGGCGCUGUGAUCUCAGUGUGAUCUCUCCAGUUAACACAGCUCUAUCUUCUCUUCCCUGUCGGCUUCCUCAUAUUAUAACUUGAGCCUGUGCAGGUUUGCUUACAUGCGAGGGCCUAUUGGUGCCGUCCCGGUCUAACAACUAUAUCUCCUAUCUGAGAAAUGAGCUCUGAGUUGUGAUGCUUGCCCAUUUCUGUGGUGUGAACACUCUCUCUUUAGCCAGUUUAGAACCCCCAAAGACAUCACAGCACAUGGGCUGGCAGAGAUGAACACAAGUACUCUGGCAGCCACACUCUAAAACUCUUUCCUUGACAGUCUGAAAGAACCAGGGAUCCUCUCUAAAUAUUCUUUCCCUCCAAACCCGUCACAUCCGUGGAGCAUCAACAAGUAGUACUUUCUCAGGAAAUGGCUCCUGCAGGUCAGAGCCCAUUCCCCAAAGCCAACCAGCCCCACUCUGUCAGAAGAGAGGUGCCUGCUAACUCGACAGAGGAGUAACAUGGUAGAAUUUGUCUCCUCAGUAAACAUAAUUAAAAGGCCUUUGUCUUCUUUCCCUCAAGCACUCAAAUGCAUUUUCUUUCACUCUCAAAUUUCCAUGGUGCCUGGUACUAGAGAGGAGGGGGCACAGAGGAUGGAGGGAUGAAGGAAUGAAGGGAUGGAGGCAUGCAAGGAUGGAGUAAUGGAGAGAUGGAGGGAUGAAGGAAUGGAGAGAUGGAGGGAUGAAGGGAUGGAGGGAUGAAGGGAUGAAGGAAUGGAGAGGUAGAGGGAUGGAGGGACGGGGGAAUGAAGGGAUGGAGGGAUGGAGGGAAGAGAUAGAUGUGAAAGCAGCUUUCCAAGAUCUAUAAAUUAAUGUUUGGGACAUGCUAGGGAAGUACCCAGGAAUGCAGAGCCUGUCCAUUGAUCAUGAUAUGGACUAGGUGAAGCAAUUUGUAUAUCAUAAUCAGAGUCUCCUGCUCAGAAAACAGCAUCUUGAGACAGCUCUACCUUUCAAUAGUACCGUAAGUCAGCUGAGAUCACCCUAAUUUAUUACCUGAAAAAACCCAGGGGCAGGUAAUUACACUGCCUGCUGACAAAAGACAGGAUGUUCAGCAUGCCCAAUUACAGAGAGGCGCAGAAUGAGAGCUAACUGCAGUUCUGAGGAGCGACAUGGCCCAUUUCACCACGCAAGACAAAACUGAACUGUCUUCUCAAAGGACUGUAAUCUUCUACAAGGUCUUUCCAAUUAAUUUAACCAUGAAUAAUUUUCUUUUAAAACUACUUUCAAGUUUCCAUUUAGUACCAGAAGGCAAUUUCACAAUUCAUUUCUAUUAUUGGAUUAAGUGGCCUGCUUCAACCUGGGCAAUUGUAUUCUUUUCUCUGAGUGUUCUGGUGAGGAUAAGUCUCAUAUCCUAAGCAAAGUUAGGGUAGGACCUCUGGACAGGGCAAUGGAGCGUGGCCUGGUCAGACCCACUAGUUGAAAAACUCUGGUUUCCUUAAGGAGUAAUGUCUGUCCACCUUGGCAGAACACUCCAGACUGAAACAGAACUCUCACAGCUCCUGUAGGCCCACGGAACCCCUGGGAGGCAAGUCUUAGCCUAGAGGAGGGGGCUAGAUGCAAAGAGGUGUGAAAAAUGGGAUCUGCUAGGCCAAGACACGGAGGAAGGUGGAGAUAAAAAUCAAGACUGAGCAGAUGGAGUGGGGGAGGAUCAUCCAGAGAGGGUGCCAGGAAUACUGCAGCGUGAAAGACACCAGGGAGGACCAGCAGCAGGACCAUGAGGUCAGCUGGGCGUGGUGAGUAGGAAGUCAGGGAGGGACGGACAGAAGCCUGAUCACCAGCCUCAUAUGCAGGAAGCUGCACACCCAGCCAGUUCCAGUGCUUCAGGCCCAUGAUGUGAGAGACUGAUGGACAGGAGCUGCCCAGGAAGCUGGCAGCCAAGCACAGAGGACAAGCGAGGACAGCGCAAGAAAUGAUGCUGCUAAUAGCAACGGUUGGAAGAGCCAUGAGGAACAUCCUGAGGAAGGUGUUCUCCAGCUGUGCAGCAGUGUAUUCUCGGCCAUAUGCUCCACCUGCCUUGCUGAGGAUCGGUGCUGUUCCGCUUGCUGUCCUCCCUGUAAGUAGACUCCAGUCUCUUUGCAGCCAUGAGCUUUUUCACGGCGGAGAGUAAAGAGCACACUGAUCCUGAGCAGGCUACACUGCUCACAGGGUGGAGAAUCUCAGAAAGAAAACGUGCUCUCUGCCCACACUCAAAAGUUAGCUUUUAGGAUUAGGAUUUCUGCCAACUCCCUAGGUCCCAAUCUGCAAAACUAUCACCAAGCCGUAGACCAGGGGCUUAGAGAUGAUUUUGUGGCUGACUCUUCAUUUUGGGGUUUCUACUAAAUGUAGAUGUUUAUUUAAAAGAAACCACACAUUAGGGGAGCUGCAAAAAACAAACCCAAAACUUGGUUUCUACAUGUUUUAUGGAGAGAAAACCCGUUGAACACAUAAAGCUUUUUCUGCCUUUUUCCCCCAAAUUCUUAUUUUACCCAGACUAACAUCUUAGCACU